GACGAACGCUGGCGGCGCGCCUAACACAUGCAAGUCGAACGAGCGAGAGAGAGCUUGCUUUCUCGAGCGAGUGGCGAACGGGUGAGUAACGCGUGAGGAACCUGCCUCAAAGGGGGGGACAACAGUUGGAAACGACUGCUAAUACCGCAUAAGACCACGACCCGGCAUCGGGUAGAGGGAAAAGGAGCAAUCCGCUUUGAGAUGGCCUCGCGUCCGAUUAGCUAGUUGGUGAGGUAACGGCCCACCAAGGCGACGAUCGGUAGCCGGACUGAGAGGUUGAACGGCCACAUUGGGACUGAGACACGGCCCAGACUCCUACGGGAGGCAGCAGUGGGGAAUAUUGCACAAUGGGGGAAACCCUGAUGCAGCGACGCCGCGUGGAGGAAGAAGGUCUUCGGAUUGUAAACUCCUGUUGUUGAGGAAGAUAAUGACGGUACUCAACAAGGAAGUGACGGCUAACUACGUG
rnacentral:rRNA from 1 species